CCAGGGGCAGCAUCUCUGCAAUGGCCGCGCCCUGCUGAGCGGAGCCCUGGGCGUAGCCAUUUCACGCCAGGAACUCAGGUGUGAAGCCCCGGCGUGAGGCUCUGCACGUGGCAUCCUAUGAGCAAGCAAAGCUAGAACCAGGAAAAGGAAAAGGAAAAAAAAAAGUUAGACUUUAUUUUAUGACCCAGAUUCUACUUGUAUUUCCUGAGACUUGUUGAUGAGCUUUGCAGGUGACACAAAUAAGAAAAAACAGAAGAAAGCAAAAUGAUGGCAUUUAGAUCACUGUAGAGGCAGCUGAGACAAGGAAGUGAAUAAAAACCAUCCACGCUCUAGUACUUACUGUUUACAUACUCAGAUGCCCAGGAGAAAUGUCCUCUGCUUGGAACUGGCAGAGCAGAACGGAAACUAAAGCCCAGAGAGAUUCGAUGAUGUGGACAAGCUGGCGUAGUUGCUGAGGUUGGUGAUUUUCAGACUGAAAAAGGCAAAACUAGUGAGGUCACUAUGGAAAUGACGACCCAAGUCAAGAUAUGAAAAAAAAAAAAAAGAAUUUUCACUGAUAAUUUGGAUGAUGGGACCAGAAUCAAAGGAAUUUGAUCAGCUGAAGUUACAUGCUUUUCAUCUUGCCAGAUGAAGUUUAAUUGAGGGCAUGUUACCAGUGCUCUCUGGGUCUCCGUUUUUUCAGCCUACAACAUGGCGAUAAUAAAGACUGCUUGCUGGAGUUCUCUGAAAUUGCUGCAAGAUAAUGUAGGUAAAGUACUGAUGCUGAUACCUCCUGAUAUAAUCAAUAAAUGUAGUUGUCUUCUCUGCAGUGAUUAAAAUGCAGAAGUUUCUCUCUUGUAAGGCAAAAUAAACAGCCUAAAAUGACUCUGAA